UAGGAGGUCGGGAUGUGAGGACAGGAUAUGGGGUUGGGAUAUGACAACAAUAUAUGAGGACAGGAUAUGAAGUCAAAAGCUUCCUCCUUUGUUUGUUUUCCUCCCCAACAAGGAUUAGGAAGGAAAAAUCGGGCAACGGUAGUUGAUUAAUAAAAUAUAAUAGUCUUGAUAAUAGUCAUGGAGGAUCUGGGAAGCUGGGCGGAGCGUUACAAUGAAUGCGGGACCCGGUAUCCAUUUAAUUUCAGUAGGAUACCUCAUCGCUCGCCCAGUUUUCCUGAUCUCCAUACUCAUUGUAUAUUAGGAUAUGCAUAACCUAAAUAAUGCAUUUCUAAGUAAUUCAUAAAUACUUGUCAGCUCUAUUAAACAUUACACUAAGGGUUUUAUUCAGUUUUGAUACCUGUAAUUAGUUUUAUAUACCAGCUAGUCGUAAUCACUUUCGCAAUCUUCCGAUCCUCUAUUAGGCAUAGCGUUCAAGACUUAGCCCCGCCCCCUGUACGCGUCAGAGGAGGGCGUCGCUUGAGUGACGCAAUUGCCGGGGCGACAGGAUAUGACGCCAGACGCCCUGCAUGGUGAGCACUGAGCAGCCGUCAUUAUCAGUACGGCUCCCCGCCACUGCGGGUUAGUGCGCCAUCCAGGACUCCAUACCGGCAAUGCGGCGAAUAACAGUGACGGACACAAUAACCGGGACUGUCCGGAUUACCACCAUUAGUUGUUAUACACGCCGCGGUUUUGAGUACACCUGUUAUAGUGAGCAACUGAGAAUGGUUGCCUCUAUUGUGCACUGGUAGUGAGCACUGAGUAUCGGGUGCCACUACAGGUUGUUUGAUACCAUACAAUUUUUCCCACAUGCAUAAGUUGUAUUAAAUCCCUGAGGACGCUCCACAUAGGAGCAGAAACGCGUAGGGUUAUGACAAUAAUUGAUGUGGUUUGCAUUUUUCCACUUACUAGUGGUAUGAGUCUUGACAACAGUUUUCUUUAUUUUUGGUGUCGGUUGAUUUUUUGCACUAGAAUUUGAGGUGUUAUUUUAGAAAAACGGAUUAAAAGUUACGUUUUAAAGCACCCCCAUAUUAUUUUUCUUAGCUGGAACAUCUGUCCACUAGAAGGAUAUUCUUGUUGAUAUUGAAAUUGCUGGGAGGAAUGAGCCCCUUGCAGGCUUUACCUAUUAUUUUGCAUUUCCGAAUUUUUAUUAACUCACCUUUCUCUGUUCCCCUGUUGUGCUGCUAUA